rnacentral:rRNA from 1 species
UACGUAGGUGGCAAGCGUUGUCCGGAAUUACUGGGUGUAAAGGGAGCGCAGGCGGGAAGCCAAGUCAGCUGUGAAAACUACGGGCUUAACUUGUAGACUGCAGUUGAAACUGGGUUUCUUGAGUGAAGUAGAGGUUGGCGGAAUUCCGAGUGUAGCGGUGAAAUGCGUAGAUAUUCGGAGGAACACCGGUGGCGAAGGCGGCCAACUGGGCUUUAACUGACGCUGAGGCUCGAAAGUGUGGGGAGCAAACAGG